rnacentral:rRNA from 1 species
UAACGCGUAGGCAACCUACCCUUUAGACGGGGACAACAUUCCGAAAGGAGUGCUAAUACCGGAUGUGAUCAUCGUGCCGCAUGGCAGGAUGAAGAAAGAUGGCCUCUACAAGUAAGCUAUCGCUAAAGGAUGGGCCUGCGUCUGAUUAGCUAGUUGGUAGUGUAACGGACUACCAAGGCGAUGAUCAGUAGCCGGUCUGAGAGGAUGAACGGCCACAUUGGGACUGAGACACGGCCCAAACUCCUACGGGAGGCAGCAGUGGGGAAUCUUCCGCGAUGGACGAAAGUCUGACGGAGCAACGCCGCGUGAGUGAUGAAGGAUUUCGGUCUGUAAAGCUCUGUUGUUUAUGACGAACGUGCAGUGUGUGAACAAUGCAUUGCAAUGACGGUAGUAAACGAGGAAGCCACGGCUAACUACGUGCCAGCAGCCGCGGUAAUACGUAGGUGGCGAGCGUUGUCCGGAAUUAUUGGGCGUAAAGAGCAUGUAGGCGGCUUAAUAAGUCGAGCGUGAAAAUGCGGGGCUCAACCCCGUAUGGCGCUGGAAACUGUUAGGCUUGAGUGCAGGAGAGGAAAGGGGAAUUCCCAGUGUAGCGGUGAAAUGCGUAGAUAUUGGGAGGAACACCAGUAGCGAAGGCGCCUUUCUGGACUGUGUCUGACGCUGAGAUGCGAAAGCCAGGGUAGCGAACGGGAUUAGAU